UUAAUUGCUCAAAACAUUUAAGACACAGCAAGCUGAGUCAGAGGAGAGAAUUCUACAUGUGUACCUCAAUUCUUCCUUCAGUUUUGAAGUUCCCAAAACAGUCUUGAGUUAGAAAGAAGGCAGCAGGUAAGCCAAAGCGGGGGAAAGGUGCCGGGGGGGGGGGGAGAGUCUUCUGCACAUGUUCAAAUCAUAAGCAAAUCAUGCACACUGUGCUUGAAUUUCCAAUUCUUCAUGAAGAAUCGUUGCUGACACAUUCAUAGCAGCAAUUCAAGCCCUUUAAGAAUGCUAAAACCCAAAAAGACAUUACUAUAUAUUCACAUUUGAUGUUUUUAUCCCUAUUGUACAUAGACUAUCCAUGGAGGAAUAGAAAUGAGAAGUGUUGGAAUAACCAUAUGGAUUUUGCAAAAAUGGUCUACCAGGUAGUCAGAAAUCUAAGGAUUGUUCUGUUUUGCUUUUCUCUUCUCUUUCUUUUCCUCCUUUUGGUUUGUGCUUUUAUUUAAAUUAUUUUUUUAUCUUUGAUAUAAAGAUGUCAGAUAUUUGAUAUUAACCUUUAUCUAUUUUCUUUCAAUCUUUAUUUAAAUUUUUUGGGUGAGGGGAAUCUUAGUUCCUAUUUCCUGAUCUUUAAGGCAAAACUUUUAUAGAUUUAGAAUUCUGAUCUAACAUACACUUUUUCCAUGGAGGAGACUUGUAUUGUCUUGCAAAAUCCAUUUCCGUUGCAACAAGAGCCUGGGAAAGCGUUAUCCAAAGACGUUUAUCCCACUAAGGUCCAGAGGGAGUGGUUGUGAAAUAAUCGUUUUAUGUGUGGCACUGACAAGCAACAGCAACUUUAAAGAGAAGGAAAUGCUGUCCUUUCAAACUUCCUUAUUUACAAAAAAAAAUAACAAAACAAAAAACUUGAAUUGCAGUCAUUAAGAAAAACAUCUGGUAUAUUGCUUUGAUUUGCAACACUAACUGUUGGACAGAAGCAAAACAUUUUCCCCCAAAGAAGCUAAUAAUUGAGCAUUCAUAUCCAUGUAUAACCUGUCAUUUAUUCCCCUCAUCAGCAACUGCUCGAGUCUGAUAAAAUUAAACACUCAAGUCAGGCAGAUUUUGUUAAAAGCAAUAAUUACAUUAUUACUAGAAUAUACAAUUAAGUAAUGAAAAAACCAGAAUGACACUGUGCAGCAGUAUUUUAUCCACUUUUCAAAAAUAUCACUGGACUGAAAACAUGCAGAAUAAUAGAAAGUAAUAACAACACUUCCACUGAACUAUCACAGUGCCCAAUUUAAAACUUCAGCCACAGGCAAAAUACAUAAAUGAUUAGCAUUGUGGUGUUUAUUUUAAUUACACUCUGCAAUUAGAAUCCAACAGCCUGUCAAAUCAUUUAAGAUCCAGAGAAAACCAAUAAUUUAAAAGCACUGAGCGCCACUUAGAAAACUUGCCCCUUGUUUGAAACAGACUUGUUAUGUCAGACAACUUCCCGACAAUAUAACAAUUGUACAACCAACCACAAACUGUUUCCCAUUCUAGUAAUAUCUAAAUACAAUACAGUAUAUGCAUAUAUGCUUUUGCGUUGAUAAGUUGUGAAAGUUCAUGCAAUCCAGUUUAGACAUGCAUCUAAGACCAUCAGGACUGGGUUCUUACAGUAGCAUGGUGCAAUGAAUGCCACAGCAGGGCUGUUCCUUCCUGCACUACUAGAGUAACAUGAUAUGCACCAGAGGAGGCACAGUAUGGAAUGGUCUUGCGAUUCUCAAAUUUUACAGCAACGCAGAGAAGCCAGCACAACUAUGGCAACAAGGUAGUGAACCAGGGUUGUAUCCACUGCAAGCCUUACUCGGAGUACAUCAAUUGAAAUUAAUGAAAGUAAGAUAGUCAUUUCCAUUAACUUCAUUAGUUCUACUCUGAGCAGGACUAGCAUGGUAUACACCUCUCAGUCUCUGUUAUAGCCAAUAGGUGAGUAAUAAUGGGUAAUUCAGAUAUCCUACUCCUCAAAUUGCCUUUUCCCCUUACAGUGUUGCAGCUAUGAAGAACUGAAAUGGGUACCAACCAAAUAAUAAUAAUUUUGGCUGGAAAUCGUGAGCAACUUCUAUCAAUUCAUUCAGUAAAAACAGACCAAAGCUCUGACCAUUUUUUUCCUUUAUUUAAGUUAUCAGUUCUACUUUCCCUUCCUCCUCCACCCUGUAAUUGCAAAGCAAGGGAAAAGACUUCCUAACUUGUUUGUGCUUUACACCCUUUACCCCAAUGACUAUCUUCCUUUGGAGAGGGAGGAAGAACAAAAAAACCCCCAAUGCAAUGGAAAAUCUGGACGCAGAAUAGGAUUUGCAUAUUUGCAUUGUUAUAACUUGUUAACAUUAUAUAUCUCAAAGGUAGAAUUUGGGGGUUUUAGCAUAAAAGUUAGUGCAUUAAGGACUAUCACCAUAUCUGGUUAUUUGGUGCACUUGUCACAUGACAAUUAUACUGAAACUUCCCCCAAUUAACACAUCUUAGCAGCACCAUUACCCAUGGGCAUAUCAUAGAGUGCUCACAUAUGUUCAGAUGCCCACCCACAUUGACAACAGAACCUUUCACGAUUCAUCACAAUUAGCAGAAUUAUUUCCAGAUUAAUAAUAAUAAUAAUAAUAAUAAUAAUAAUUUAUUUGAACCCAACCCAUCUGGCUGGGUUUUUCCAGCCACUCUGGGAGGCUCACAAUAAAAUAUUAAAAACAUGAUAAGGCAUCAGACAUUUAAAACUUCCCUAAACAGGGCUGCCUUCAGGUAUUUUCAGAGUGUGGUCACAUUGGCUUGUAGGUACAACAGCCAAUCUGCAAAAUAUCUAUUUAUGCCAGGAGCAGAAGAUGGCUAUUUACCCAAACCAAAAUGCCAAGAGUUUACCAAAAGAUGGCAAAAUGUGAAGGGAGAAAAUCACCCAGGAGAACCCUUAACAAUUGUAUUUUAUGAUGUGGGAAAUUAAAAACUCAGUAAAAUAUGAAAACAGCAUGUAAGCAAAGUUAAAUUACCUUACAAAAAAUAUGCAUAUAGGAAAACAAUUGUUUAAGGAGAUAAACAUACAUUCCAACUCAGUGAAGAAGCAUAUAACAAUCCUUAAAAACUAACAGGAAAAGCAGUCCCUCCUCAUUUACUGGAAUACUAUACAUAGUAAUCCUCCUAUUCCACACUAGUUUCAAGCUAGUCAGAAAACAUUGUUUAAUUAGGGUAGUGUAAUGUGUUAAAGAAUGUGGUUCUGCCCACAAGGAAGGCUGUGGGAUCAGCAUUUCAAAUCCUAGUUCACACAAGACAACUAUUGGCUCUGUUGGGAAAGCGAGUGCUUUUCAGCCUCAGUUCCUAUCUGUCAAAGAGAAAUAAGUGACAUACUGUACAAUAUGAAUAAAUGUGUUCAUUUUCCAAAUGCAUUCAUUCACUCUCAAAAUUUAGUGGUACUUCUUGUCCUCUACUAAUUUUUGAAGCUACUCUCAUCUUCAUUCCAGCAACCCUUUUGAGAUUUCUUUAAGGUGGGGGGGGGGAACCUCAGCCCUGAGCGGUUUUGCAAGGCUGAAAUGUGUCCCUGAACUCUGAUAAUGCUUUUCUGUUGCUUGCCUGGACAAAGGAUAUAGAGAAGUGAAUGUGUAGAAACUAGCCUACUAUACAAAGAUAAAAUUCACAUUUGCUGCUUUGCUUAGUUUUUUUUUUUUUUUGCCUCUGGUCCAGACCACUACUGGCAUGUGGCCCCCAGAAGAUUACGCAGAACAGAAUGCAGCCCUCAAGCUGAAAAGAGCUCACCAUCCCUGCCUUAAAGCUUAAGCAGAUCCUUUGUUUUUGCAAUGUUUGACGUACAUUCUUUCUUCUAUCAUUUCCAACAACAGCAUUUCAUAAAAAUGUAUUUUUUUAAAAAAAUGAACAUAUGUGACAGACAAGUAAACUCCAGUUUCACCAAGUGAGAACACAAUACAUCAAUAUGCAGACAAAAAGAAAAUGGUAACACAUGCAAGUACAGUCAUACCUCUAGUUGAGUUAGGUUCAGGUUGCGGAUUUUUGGGUUGCAAACAUGGCAAACCCGGAAGUGUAUACUUCCAGGUUUUGCCGCGCAUGCACAGAAGCCUUCUGUGUGCAGGAGCGCUCUAUUGCGUUACACGCAAGCGCAGAAGCGGCGCUCUACUUAAGACUUUUCAGGGUGCGAACGGCGCCCCGGAACGGAUUGCAUCCAUAAGUAGAGGUACCACUGUAAAGAAAACAUGGCAAGGAGUAGACAACACAGGUAAAAAUGGUGCGAGCCAUACCAACAAACCUACACAAAAUAUACCGCAUUUUUCGCUCUGUAAGACACACUUUUUCCCUCCUAAAAAGUAAGGGGGAAUGCGUGUGCGUCUUAUGGAGUGAAUGCAGGCGUGAGGCUCUGCUCACCGCUCCCUUUAAAGAGCCGUGUGGAGCA
rnacentral:lncRNA from 1 species